CCUACGGGGGGCAGCAGUGGGGAAUAUUGCGCAAUGGGCGAAAGCCUGACGCAGCGACGCCGCGUGCGGGAUGAAGGUCUUCGGAUCGUAAACCUCUGUCAGCAGGGAAGAAAGGUCACUGUGCUAAUCAGCAGUGAAUUGACGGUACCUGCAAAGGAAGCACCGGCUAACUCCGUGCCAGCAGCCGCGGUAAUACGGAGGGUGCGAGCGUUACUCGGAAUUACUGGGCGUAAAGCGCUCGUAGGCGGUAUGUCAAGUCAAGGGUGAAAGCCCCGCGCUCAACGUGGGAACUGCCUUUGAAACUGGCAAACUGGAGUGUGUGAGAGGAUAGUGGAAUUCCAGGUGUAGGAGUGAAAUCCGUAGAUAUCUGGAGGAACAUCAGUGGCGAAGGCGACUAUCUGGCACAUAACUGACGCUGAGGAGCGAAAGCGUGGGUAGCAAACAGGAUUAGAUACCCUAGUAGUC
rnacentral:rRNA from 1 species